AUUUAAUGGUUCUCAAUAAUUUGUUGAAUGUUGUUGGAACACGGUUUUGUAAAUUGAGAACAGUCCCUUAGCGAAUUUUGUAAGUUUAGAGCAAUCCCAUAAAUAGCUUGAUUAAAUUCGUGAUUUGGUUCUGAAUAAUAAUAUUCUCAAUAUUUUUUACAUAUUCUAUUUGUUUAUUUACUGUUUGUUUACAACUUUAAACCAGUUUGCACUAAAUUCUGUGCAGUACCCUUGGUCAUCUGGUCUCACUACCAGUUGGAUUUAGUUUGUGAAAUCAGCGGAUCUGAGCAAGUGUGUGUGUUGUUGUUCAUUGUGGUUUAUAUCGGUUCAGCAGUAUCCUCAAGCAAACUUAUUGCUCUCCUUAAGCAAACUUAUUGCUCAAGACCCUGCUGGAUCUACCCUAGCUCUGUUCAACCCCGAUCAGCGAAACAAGUAAGGAUAAACUUUUUAUUCUCUGCCAAGUAAUGCAUUUAAUGCAACUGAUUGCUUUAAUAGAAGCAAAAUAGAGUUAAAUUGCUCAGUUCGGACUAGUUCCUAUUAACCCUUUUUAUUGGGCAAGAUUAUUGCUCCAAUAAAGUA